rnacentral:rRNA from 1 species
AAACAUGGCUCUUUGAAUUAUUUUUAUAGGGAGUCAGGCCUGCCCAGUGAAAUUUACUUUAACGGCCGCGGUACUCUGACCGUGCAAAGGUAGCAUAAUCAUUUGCCUUAUAAUUGAAGGCUAGUAUGAAUGGUUUAACGAGAGCAGCACUGUCUCUUUUUUAUUUUCAAGAACUUAACCUUUAGGUGAAGAGGCCUAAAUUUUAUUGAAGGACAAGAAGACCCUGUCGAGCUUAAAAGACACUAUAGAAGUUUAUAUAUAUACCUAAAUAAAUUUUCUGUUAAGCUUUUUAGUUGGGGCGACUAAGGAACAAAAAAAGCUUCUUAAGCAAAACAAACAUUCAAGUUUUGAUCCGGUGAUAGCCGAUUUAAGGAAUUAGUUACCGCAGGGAUAACAGCAUAAUCUCUCUUGAGAGACCUAAUCGAAAGAGGGGGUUGUGACCUCGAUGUUGGACUAGAAUAUCCUAAAGAUGCAGAAGUCUUUAAGGGUCGGUCUGUUCGACCGUUAAAAUUUUACGUGAUC